rnacentral:rRNA from 1 species
AUUGAACGCUGGCGGCAUGCCUAACACAUGCAAGUCGAGCGGAUGAAGGGAGCUUGCUCCUGGAUUCCGCGGCGGGCGGGUGAGUAAUUCCUAGGAAUCUGCCUGGUAUUUGGGGAUAACGUCCGGAAACGGGCGCUAAUACCGCAUACGUCCUGAGGGAGAAAGUGGGGGAUCUUCGGACCUCACGCUAUCAGAUGAGCCUAGGUCGGAUUAGCUAGUUGGUGGGGUAAAGGCCUACCAAGGCGACGAUCCGUAACUGGUCUGAGAGGAUGAUCAGUCACACUGGAACUGAGACACGGUCCAGACUCCUACGGGAGGCAGCAGUGGGGAAUAUUGGACAAUGGGCGAAAGCCUGAUCCAGCCAUGCCGCGUGUGUGAAGAAGGUCUUCGGAUUGUAAAGCACUUUAAGUUGGGAGGAAGGGCAGUAAGUUAAUACCUUGCUGUUUUGACGUUACCAACAGAAUAAGCACCGGCUAACUUCGUG